rnacentral:rRNA from 1 species
CACAUAUUGUGAGCUCGAUGAGUAGGGCGGGACACGUGGUAUCCUGUCUGAAUAUGGGGGGACCAUCCUCCAAGGCUAAAUACUCCUGACUGACCGAUAGUGAACCAGUACCGUGAGGGAAAGGCGAAAAGAACCCCGGCGAGGGGAGUGAAAAAGAACCUGAAACCGUGUACGUACAAGCAGUGGGAGCACGCUUAGGCGUGUGACUGCGUACCUUUUGUAUAAUGGGUCAGCGACUUAUAUUCUGUAGCAAGGUUAACCGAAUAGGGGAGCCGAAGGGAAACCGAGUCUUAACUGGGCGUUAAGUUGCAGGGUAUAGACCCGAAACCCGGUGAUCUAGCCAUGGGCAGGUUGAAGGUUGGGUAACACUAACUGGAGGACCGAACCGACUAAUGUUGAAAAAUUAGCGGAUGACUUGUGGCUGGGGGUGAAAGGCCAAUCAAACCGGGAGAUAGCUGGUUCUCCCCGAAAGCUAUUUAGGUAGCGCCUCGUGAAUUCAUCUCCGGGGGUAGAGCACUGUUUCGGCAAGGGGGUCAUCCCGACUUACCAACCCGAUGCAAACUGCGAAUACCGGAGAAUGUUAUCACAGGAGACACACGGCGGGUGCUAACGUCCGUCGUGAAGAGGGAAACAACCCAGACCGCCAGCUAAGGUCCCAAAGUCAUGGUUAAGUGGGAAACGAUGUGGGAAGGCCCAGACAGCCAGGAUGUUGGCUUAGAAGCAGCCAUCAUUUAAAGAAAGCGUAAUAGCUCACUGGUCGAGUCGGCCUGCGCGGAAGAUGUAACGGGGCUAAACCAUGCACCGAAGCUGCGGCAGCGACGCUUAUGCGUUGUUGGGUAGGGGAGCGUUCUGUAAGCCUGCGAAGGUGUGCUGUGAGGCAUGCUGGAGGUAUCAGAAGUGCGAAUGCUGACAUAAGUAACGAUAAAGCGGGUGAAAAGCCCGCUCGCCGGAAGACCAAGGGUUCCUGUCCAACGUUAAUCGGGGCAGGGUGAGUCGACCCCUAAGGCGAGGCCGAAAGGCGUAGUCGAUGGGAAACAGGUUAAUAUUCCUGUACUUGGUGUUACUGCGAAGGGGGGACGGAGAAGGCUAUGUUGGCCGGGCGACGGUUGUCCCGGUUUAAGCGUGUAGGCUGGUUUUCCAGGCAAAUCCGGAAAAUCAAGGCUGAGGCGUGAUGACGAGGCACUACGGUGCUGAAGCAACAAAUGCCCUGCUUCCAGGAAAAGCCUCUAAGCAUCAGGUAACAUCAAAUCGUACCCCAAACCGACACAGGUGGUCAGGUAGAGAAUACCAAGGCGCUUGAGAGAACUCGGGUGAAGGAACUAGGCAAAAUGGUGCCGUAACUUCGGGAGAAGGCACGCUGAUAUGUAGGUGAAGUCCCUUGCGGAUGGAGCUGAAAUCAGUCGAAGAUACCAGCUGGCUGCAACUGUUUAUUAAAAACACAGCACUGUGCAAACACGAAAGUGGACGUAUACGGUGUGACGCCUGCCCGGUGCCGGAAGGUUAAUUGAUGGGGUCAGCGCAAGCGAAGCUCUUGAUCGAAGCCCCGGUAAACGGCGGCCGUAACUAUAACGGUCCUAAGGUAGCGAAAUUCCUUGUCGGGUAAGUUCCGACCUGCACGAAUGGCGUAAUGAUGGCCAGGCUGUCUCCACCCGAGACUCAGUGAAAUUGAACUCGCUGUGAAGAUGCAGUGUACCCGCGGCAAGACGGAAAGACCCCGUGAACCUUUACUAUAGCUUGACACUGAACAUUGAGCCUUGAUGUGUAGGAUAGGUGGGAGGCUUUGAAGUGUGGACGCCAGUCUGCAUGGAGCCGGCCUUGAAAUACCACCCUUUAAUGUUUGAUGUUCUAACGUGGACCCGUGAUCCGGGUUGCGGACAGUGUCUGGUGGGUAGUUUGACUGGGGCGGUCUCCUCCUAAAGAGUAACGGAGGAGCACGAAGGUUGGCUAAUCCUGGUCGGACAUCAGGAGGUUAGUGCAAUGGCAUAAGCCAGCUUGACUGCGAGCGUGACGGCGCGAGCAGGUGCGAAAGCAGGUCAUAGUGAUCCGGUGGUUCUGAAUGGAAGGGCCAUCGCUCAACGGAUAAAAGGUACUCCGGGGAUAACAGGCUGAUACCGCCCAAGAGUUCAUAUCGACGGCGGUGUUUGGCACCUCGAUGUCGGCUCAUCACAUCCUGGGGCUGAAGUAGGUCCCAAGGGUAUGGCUGUUCGCCAUUUAAAGUGGUACGCGAGCUGGGUUUAGAACGUCGUGAGACAGUUCGGUCCCUAUCUGCCGUGGGCGCUGGAGAACUGAGGGGGGCUGCUCCUAGUACGAGAGGACCGGAGUGGACGCAUCACUGGUGUUCGGGUUGUCAUGCCAAUGGCACUGCCCGGUAGCUAAAUGCGGAAGAGAUAAGUGCUGAAAGCAUCUAAGCACGAAACUUGCCCCGAGAUGAGUUCUCCCUGACCCUUUAAGGGUCCUGAAGGAACGUUGAAGACGACGACGUUGAUAGGCCGGGUGUGUAAGCGCAGCGAUGCGUUGAGCUAACCGGUACUAAUGAACCGUGAGG